AUUGAACGCUAGCGGGAUGCUUUACACAUGCAAGUCGAACGGAGUGGCGAACGGGUGAGUAAUGUAUCGGAACGUGCCCAGUAGCGGGGGAUACCUACGCGAAAGCGUAGCUAAUACCGCAUACUAUUGGAGCGGCCGAUAUCGGAUUCGCUAGUUGGUGAGGUAACGGCUCACCAGGGCGCCGAGCCGUAGCUGGUUUGCGAGGACGACCAGCCCAACUGGGACUGAGACACGGCCCAGACUCCUACGGGAGGCAGCAGUGGGGAAUUUUGGACAAUGGGGGCAACCCUGAUCCAGCCAUCCCGCGUGUGCGAUGAAGGCCUUCGGGUUGUAAAGCACUUUUGGCAGGAAAGCGGUACCUGCAGAAUAAGCACCGGCUAACUACGUGCCAGCAGCCGCGGUAAUUC
rnacentral:rRNA from 1 species